UGGGGAAUAUUGGGCAAUGGGCGCAAGCCUGACCCAGCAACGCCGCGUGAAGGAAGAAGGCUUUCGGGUUGUAAACUUCUUUGACAGGGGAAGAUAAUGACGGUACCCUGAAAACAAGCUCCGGCUAACUACGUGCCAGCAGCCGCGGUGAUACGUAGGGAGCAAGCGUUAUCCGGAAUUACUGGGUGUAAAGGGCGCGUAGGCGGGUCUGCAAGUCAGAUGUGAAAUGCCGGGGCUUGACCUCGGAGCUGCAUUUGAAACUGUAGGUCUUGAGUGAUGGAGAGGCAGGCGGAAUUCCCGGUGUAGCGGUGGAAUGCGUAGAUAUCGGGAGGAACACCAGUGGCGAAGGCGGCCUGCUGGACAUUAACUGACGCUGAGGCGCGAAAGCGUGGGGAGCAAACAGGAUUAGAUACCC
rnacentral:rRNA from 1 species